GUCAGGCCCGGUUCCGGGCCCCGGACGACGGAUCAGUACCCGGUGAGCGACAAGACUGGCCAAG
rnacentral:ncRNA from 1 species